GCUUUUCUUUCUUCUGUGCUUGGAAAUUUCCUCUGUCUUCCCUGAGUGGUCAGCUGCUGUCGAAACAAGACAUGAUGACAGAUGCUGCCUGAGGUGGAUUGGGAGAGCCAGGGCCAGUACAGCUGAAAGAAGGGUUUAUAUUUUCACCAGAAACCUGCAUUAGGGAAAGAGGGAUGUGACUGUCUUCAUCUUUGCACCAUCUUAUCCAUCCUUUUCUGUCUCUGGCUAUUGCAGUGUUGAUUUGAAGAAGGGAAACGGAAAGAUUCCUCAACCAUAAAGUGGACAUGGGAACUACUUUCACAAAGUUGUUGGAAGAAUUAAAUAAAAUGCCUAUUAUUGUUUA
rnacentral:antisense_RNA from 1 species